rnacentral:rRNA from 1 species
UACGGGGGGGGCAAGCGUUGUUCGGAAUUACUGGGCGUAAAGGGCUCGUAGGCGGCCAGCUAAGUCAUACGUGAAAUCCCGCGGCUUAACCGGGGAACUGCGUCUGAUACUGGAUGGCUUGAGUUCGGGAGAGGGAUGCGGAAUUCCAGGUGUAGCGGUGAAAUGCGUAGAUAUCUGGAGGAACACCGGUGGCGAAGGCGGCAUCCUGGGCCGAUACUGACGCUGAGGAGCGAAAGCGAGGGGAGCAAACGGG